UGUAGGAACUUGACGGUACCGUAAGAAUAAGGAUCGGCUAACUCCGUGCCAGCAGCCGCGGUAAUACGGAGGAUCCAAGCGUUAUCCGGAAUCAUUGGGUUUAAAGGGUCCGUAGGCGGCCUUAUAAGUCAGUGGUGAAAGCCCAUCGCUUAACGAUGGAACGGCCAUUGAUACUGUAGGGCUUGAAUUUUUGUGAAGUAACUAGAAUAUGUAGUGUAGCGGUGAAAUGCUUAGAUAUUACAUGGAAUACCAAUUGCGAAGGCAGGUUACUAACAAACAAUUGACGCUGAUGGACGAAAGCGUGGGGAGCGAACAGGAUUAGAUACCCUGGUAGUCCACGCCGUAAACGAUGGAUACUAGCUGUUUGGAGCAAUCUGAGUGGCUAAGCGAAAGUGAUAAGUAUCCCACCUGGGGAGUACGCACGCAAGUGUGAAACUCAAAGGAAUUGACGGGGGCCCGCACAAGCGGAGGAGCAUGUGGUUUAAUUCGAUGAUACGCGAGGAACCUUACCAGGGCUUAAAUGGGAGACGACAGGACUGGAAACAGUUUUUUCUUCGGACGUCUUUCAAGGUGCUGCAUGGUUGUCGUCAGCUCGUGCCGUGAGGUGUCAGGUUAAGUCCUAUAACGAGCGCAACCCCUAUUGUUAGUUGCCAGCGGGUCAUGCCGGGAACUCUAACAAGACUGCCGGUGCAAACCGUGAGGAAGGUGGGGAUGACGUCAAAUCAUCACGGCCCUUACGUCCUGGGCUACACACGUGCUACAAUGGACGGUACAGAGAGCAGCCACCACGCAAGUGGGCGCGAAUCUUCAAAGCCGUUCUCAGUUCGGAUCGGAGUCUGCAACUCGACUCC
rnacentral:rRNA from 1 species